CUCUCGGGAACCCUAGCGGUCCACUCCUCCCUUGCCGCCGCCACCUUCGGCGGGAAUCGAAGACCAUGUCCGGCGAGAUCCGGCGCGCGCAGCGAGAUCCAUCUCUCUCACACACACGAUAAGGAAAAUCCCCCGCCCCAUUCCCACGACUCAUCUGCCUCUCCCUCGAUCCCCUUCCUUCCCGAGGACGCACGCGCCGCCGCCUCCCCGAUCCCCUUCUCCCCUCGCCCCCCACAUCGCGCCGCCAUCCACCUCGUCGCCUCCCAGAUUUAUCCUCCUCCUCCUCCUAUUCCCCUCGCCAGAUCCAUCCAUCCAUUCGUUUUUCCAUCCGAUCCACCUGACGCCAUCGUAUCCCCUUCUCGCUCGCAGGGUUGCAGGCGAUUCGAUCCGGUCCGGGUCCAUGGCGUCCACGGCCGUGGCGGCGCUCGUGGUGACCGACGAGCUGGCCCUGCCGCUCCGCGCGGUGGGGGACGGCGGCGGGGAAGCACGCAGCUGCGCAGCGACCGCGGGAGGUUUCAGUGAGCGGCCGCAUUGCUGCGGCAGGAGGACCAGCGCGGGCUUCCGGCAACGAGGCUCCGUCGCGUGAACCAAGACGCGGACUCUACAGGAUGGCUCUGCGGGACGCUGGCGUCAGAAGCAGCGGCCGGGGCCACGCGGUGACCCUGGGACGCCGCUGCCCGAUUCUGGCGCGAAGGCAACCUCGCGCGAAUCACGGCGGCCUUGACCAAGAAGGAGGCGUUCGUGCCGCACGGCGGCCGGUGGUGAGCGUCGGUGCUGGCGAGUUUGGGUCAGUACGUCGCGACGGCGGCGAGCCUGCUCGGCGUCCCAUGAUUGGACCUUGGAGCCACGCGAAGAGAAGGGGAUCCACUCCAAACCCAGCACAGGACAUGGUGACGAACUCACUGUUCGAGAAGAGGCCGAACCGGUUAGGCAUCGGCUGCGCGCUACCGCCCAAGAAGGACCUCCACCUGUUCGCCAAUGCCGCAUCCUCAAGCAGCGCAUCCGUGCCCAGCCGCGGUUGUUUUUGCCCAUUUAUGUUGUUGCUUUAGUAGCAUCCUUUCCUUUCUUUUAUGUAGCAGCAGAGCACCACUCUUACUAUGCACUUCUCUCCAGAUUCUGCUACAAUUACAAAUUUACAAUGCAUUCAUGCAUGAGCAGUGCAUGUGUUGGCUGUCCAUGAGAUCAGGAAUAGUAUGAGCCGUAGAGUCUUGUUCGAACUCAUUGAUGCAACAAAACUCAUUUGGAGAGCUACCUACUCAUUUGGAUGCAAUAUCAUGCUUGCUCUUUUGAAAUCGAUAAUGAUGCUCGAAAUGUUAGUCAUAUUUCCAUUGUGGAUUAGCUUCUGCCCCUCAAAUGCUAUUGACAAGUUGCAUCCCUUGACUCUGUAUUCAUGAGUAGUAUACAACCUGAGAUGUCCGAUUGUAUACAAACUGCACCUCGAAAUUGAUAUGUUCCAGUCUGUGUCUUUGAUUGUAAAUGUUUCUUCACUAUAAAAUCUUCUAUCUGUGAUAAGUGCAACUAGAAGAAUUUGUCCCAUCUAAAAUUCUGUAAUCCCUAUUAGCUGAAACUUGAGCAUUACAAAGUUUCAUUUCUAAGUUCAAUUUGUUGAUAAGCCAUCCUCCUCCUGUUUCGGUAUUUAUCGUGCAUACACAACACUUCAUGAAAAUAAACUACAUGCGAUAUACUCAAAUAGCACUAGGGUCUGGGACUAUUUUAUGGUGUUGUGGAUAUACUUUGUGAUUUACUAUUACUGAUCUGCGCUUUGGUGUCAUAUUAUGGUAUAAUAUAUUUUGUUUUGGCUCUUUCUCUGUUGGCAGGAAAGUGGUGAGGAGAUGUUGAUGAUGCCUACUUGCUUGGCUGCUACGGUGAUGCAUGCACCGAUGAAGCAAGCACACAUGCAAGGCUGGCCCCAUGUAUCUUCCUUGGCUGCGGACAUCAUCUACAGGAUAGCAGUAUGACCAAGACAAGCUACAAGCUCCCAGCGCGUCUGAUCCAGGGUGAAUGGCCAUGGUCACGAGCUCCUCAGGAUCAAAAUAGGAUGGCAAGUUGUGGCAGUUGGAGCAUGUCGCAUAAGAGAGAGCAAUGAAAUCCAUUGUACUGUUCUGUUAAAAAAAGUACAUUAUGCUGUUAUGAUAGUAGCAGAUGUGCCAUCUUUCUUAUUAUAUAGUCCUGUGUAAGGAAAUGUAUUCCUGAGAUGAUUUUUGUGUUAUGUAAACCUGGGAGAUAUUUUCUUUUUGUGUGAUGUAAACCUAGGAGUUUUCCUAAUUUGAAUGAAAUAAUGUUGGAUGUA